CACUGCUGGCCCAAGGAAGGCCUUGCCUCAUAAUCCUCAUGGUAGUUAGUCAUAAUUCUAGUGCACCCCAAACAUGUCAUUCUGUAAUCACAAAGUAGGUUUUGUUAUUAUUUGAAUAAGUCACCAAGUUGUUGUUUUUUUAGCACACACAUACAACUUUUUCCCCUUGUACAGAGCAGGGGUUAAGGUACACAUUCCUCAGACGAUGUCUAAUGGAAACCUUGACCCUACUUCACCAUUUAUGCCUUUGGCCAGUAUUUCCCUUGAAGACUUCUAGUUAGAGAUUUAACAAAACAAAUAAAAACUCCUUUGUUAACUUUCAUCUAAGAAUUAGAAAACACCAUUUAGCACGAUUUGGCACUGGAUUCCCAGGAUUUGAUGCAAUAUAUUUCAGUGUUUCUGUUGCUGAUCUCACAUGUGCCACUGCCUUUUCCAAGCUUUGCUCCAUGCCAAGUCAUCACAUGGAAGACCCAACUGGCUAUAUGUGUCCUGCCAGGGAGUUCUGGCAGAGAUUUGCAUGCUGAAGGAUAUGGAAUUAGUUUAGUACCAGAUGAGAAUACAGAAACAGAGACGUUAAGUACCUUGACCCAGGUCACACCACUAGGAAGUGGCAGAAAUAGGAUCCAAAUUCAGGCAGCCUGGCUCCAGAGUUCUUGUACGGGGGAUCGAACUCAGGACAUUGCACUUGCAAGAUAGGCGCAGCACCACUGAGCUAAAUCUGAUCCUGGGCCCCCUGUUUUUCAACUGAGGAGCCGGACAUCAAGAAGCAAAGACAAAGCAGAGUGUGGUGGCACAUCCAUGUAGCCCCAGGACUCAGGAGCUGAGGCAAGAGGAUCACUUGAGCCUGAGAAUCCCUUUCCAGUCCGAGCAACAUAGCAGACUCCAUUUCCAAACAAAAACAAGGACAUCAAGCAACCAAGAAAGAAAGACGAGGGGUGGAGGGAAGAAGAGAGAGUCGCCACUUAACAGCCGUUCCUCUGCCAUAUCCCUCUGCCAUCCGCUUUCUGCCUUGGAGCCAGCUGACCAGGGACUGCAACCGUGAAG
rnacentral:lncRNA from 1 species